rnacentral:rRNA from 1 species
GAUGAACGCUGGCGGCGUGCCUAAUACAUGCCAGUCGAGCGAACGGACGAGAAGCUUGCUUUUCUGAUGUUAGCGGCGGACGGGUGAGUAACACGUGGAUAACCUACCUAUAAGACUGGGAUAACUUCGGGAAACCGGAGCUAAUACCGGAUAAUAUUUUGAACCGCAUGGUUCAAAAGUGAAAGACGGUCUUGCUGUCACUUAUAGAUGGAUCCGCGCUGCAUUAGCUAGUUGGUAAGGUAACGGCUUACCAAGGCAACGAUGCAUAGCCGACCUGAGAGGGUGAUCGGCCACACUGGAACUGAGACACGGUCCAGACUCCUACGGGAGGCAGCAGUAGGGAAUCUUCCGCAAUGGGCGAAAGCCUGACGGAGCAACGCCGCGUGAGUGAUGAAGGUCUUCGGAUCGUAAAACUCUGUUAUUAGGGAAGAACAUAUGUGUAAGUAACUGUGCACAUCUUGACGGUACCUAAUCAGAAAGCCACGGCUAACCACGUG